GAUGAAGAACGUAGCGAAAUGCGAUACUUGGUGUGAAUUGCAGAAUCCCGUGAACCAUCGAGUCUUUGAACGCAAGUUGCGCCCGAAGCCAUUAGGCCGAGGGCACGCCUGCCUGGGCGUCACACGUCGUUGCCCCCCCAUCUACUCCUUCGGGAUUGCGAGGGGCGGAUGAUGGCCUCCCGUGCGCCUCGUCGCGCGGUUGGCAUAAAUGCCAAGUCCUCGGCGACGCACGCCACGACAAUCGGUGGUUGCGAAACCUCGGUUGCCCGUCGUGUGCGGUCGUCGCGCAUCGAGGGCUCGAAAAAAUUGCCGGGCUCCGGCUCGGCUUUCAACGCAACCCCAGGUCAGGCGGGGUUACCCGCUGAAUUUAAGCAUAUCAAUAAGCGGAGGA
rnacentral:misc_RNA from 1 species